AUUUGUGACUGACACAUUAUUGCUUUCCAGGAAGUGGUAGGGAUGACAAAAAAGCAUAUUCCAACAGGGCUUUGGAGAGGAUAAAGUCCAAGAAGUACUGAAACCAAGAGUCACUUAAAUUUUUAAGAAUCUUCAUUUUAAAGAUAAGUAGUAGUCCACAUAGGAAUGCAUGGUAUUCAAUGAUGAUUUCCUACAUUUAUUCAAGGGAUAGGAACAUGCUAUUGUGAUCAGAAAGAAAAAUCAAACAAAAAGAAGAGGCCAAAGGAAAGGAUAUGGUCAGAAAAAAAAAUCAAACAAAAAGAAGAAGGUGAUAAAGGAAAACAGACGAUAGUGGUUCCUAUCAAGAUCUUAGAGAAAGAGAACAUUAAGGGAGACAAAUUGGAGUGAUAUCCAACUAAUCAGAAGCUGGAUGUAGCUGAAGGACUUCUUGUUCUAAUUUAUCUGGCUGUGUCUUCACUGAGCGGAAGAAGAUAUGGUGGUUGAAGUUACAAGGACUCCUUGUUGUAACCAGGAGCCGAUCUUGAUCAAUGGAGCUACAUAAAGCAUGUUGAAAUGCAAAGAAAGAUAGAAGGAGCCUGUGGUACUGAAAACAUUGAGGAUUCUCUGAACCAGCCUUGGCUACCCCACCAUUUAACUUGAGAAAAAAUAUUUCUUUCCUCUUUAAGCUCUUCUUCUACCAAAUGUAUCAGGAAAUAAAAAUAUAUUAAAUUAAAACAAA
rnacentral:lncRNA from 1 species